UACGGAGGGUGCAAGCGUUGUCCGGAUUUAUUGGGUUUAAAGGGUGCGUAGGCGGGCUGGUAAGUCUGGUUUGAAAGCUGGUCGCUCAACGAUCAGUGGUGGCUGGAUACUGCUAGUCUUGAAAGUGUUGGAGGCAGCCGGAACGGGUCGUGUAGCGGUGAAAUGCAUAGAGAUGACCCAGAACACCAAUUGCGUAGGCAGGCUGCUACGACUGCUUUGACGCUGAGGCACGAGAGCAUGGGGAGCAAACAGG
rnacentral:rRNA from 1 species